GCCUCACAUAGUCACUCAACUGAAUUUAAUGAGUUCCAAUCAUAUAUCAAGUGGAAUUUCUAAUUGAAAAUGUCAUGGGUAGCAAUCAUGAUAUGCAAGUAUGUUCUCAAGAGUGAAGCUUUAUCCAAGUGCGCCUAGAGAUUUGGCUUAAAAGCAGCCUCAUAAACCAAUCACCAGUUCAAAUAGGCAAUUUCUUUGUUCUAAUAAAUGCAUGAAUUUGUAUCUCUUGCCAUAUCAUGUACAUGAUCCCAGGAGACUAACAGGUGCUGCAAAU
rnacentral:misc_RNA from 1 species